rnacentral:rRNA from 1 species
GAUGAACGCUGGCGGCGUGCCUAAUACAUGCAAGUCGAGCGAACGGACGAGAAGCUUGCUUCUCUGAUGUUAGCGGCGGACGGGUGAGUAACACGUGGAUAACCUACCUAUAAGACUGGGAUAACUUCGGGAAACCGGAGCUAAUACCGGAUGAUAUUUUGAACCGCAUGGUUCAAAAGUGAAAGACGGUCUUGCUGUCACUUAUAGAUGGAUCCGCGCUGCAUUAGCUAGUUGGUAAGGUAACGGCUUACCAAGGCAACGAUGCAUAGCCGACCUGAGAGGGUGAUCGGCCACACUGGAACUGAGACACGGUCCAGACUCCUACGGGAGGCAGCAGUAGGGAAUCUUCCGCAAUGGGCGAAAGCCUGACGGAGCAACGCCGCGUGAGUGAUGAAGGUCUUCGGAUCGUAAAACUCUGUUAUUAGGGAAGAACAUAUGUGUAAGUAACUGUGCACAUCUUGACGGUACCUAAUCAGAAAGCCACGGCUAACUACGUGCCAGCAGCCGCGGUAAUACGUAGGUGGCAAGCGUUAUCCGGAAUUAUUGGGCGUAAAGCGCGCGUAGGCGGUUUUUUAAGUCUGAUGUGAAAGCCCACGGCUCAACCGUGGAGGGUCAUUGGAAACUGGAAAACUUGAGUGCAGAAGAAGAAAGUGGAAUUCCAUGUGUAGCGGUGAAAUGCGCAGAGAUAUGGAGGAACACCAGUGGCGAAGGCGACUUUCUGGUCUGUAACUGACGCUGAUGUGCGAAAGCGUGGGGAUCAAACAGGAUUAGAUACCCUGGUAGUCCACGCCGUAAACGAUGAGUGCUAAGUGUUAGGGGGUUUCCGCCCCUUAGUGCUGCAGCUAGCGCAUUAAGCACUCCGCCUGGGGAGUACGACCGCAAGGUUGAAACUCAAAGGAAUUGACGGGGACCCGCACAAGCGGUGGAGCAUGUGGUUUAAUUCGAAGCAACGCGAAGAACCUUACCAAAUCUUGACAUCCUUUGACAACUCUAGAGAUAGAGCCUUCCCCUUCGGGGGACAAAGUGACAGGUGGUGCAUGGUUGUCGUCAGCUCGUGUCGUGAGAUGUUGGGUUAAGUCCCGCAACGAGCGCAACCCUUAAGCUUAGUUGCCAUCAUUAAGUUGGGCACUCUAAGUUGACUGCCGGUGACAAACCGGAGGAAGGUGGGGAUGACGUCAAAUCAUCAUGCCCCUUAUGAUUUGGGCUACACACGUGCUACAAUGGACAAUACAAAGGGCAGCGAAACCGCGAGGUCAAGCAAAUCCCAUAAAGUUGUUCUCAGUUCGGAUUGUAGUCUGCAACUCGACUACAUGAAGCUGGAAUCGCUAGUAAUCGUAGAUCAGCAUGCUACGGUGAAUACGUUCCCGGGUCU